AUGCCCCGCCUCGUAACCUGCAGGAGGGAGGAACGCGGCCGCGGCGCUACCGGCGGGCCGCUGUUUCCCGGGGGGGCCGUAUUGCGAGCGGACCGCGGGCGGGCGGGCGGCGGCAGCCGGGCCCCGCUCCCGCCCCGCUCCUCCCCUUCCCUGCCCUCCCCUUCCCCCUCCCUGCCCUCCCCUCCUCUUCCCAGUCCCUUCCCUCUUCCCUUCCCGCCCUCUCCGUCGGCAGCCGGCGGGAGCCAUGCACGGCGGCGGCGGGGCGGCGGCGGCCGGGCGGCGGUAGCGGCGAUGGCGGGGCCGGGCGCGCUGCAGCGGGCGCGGCGCCUGUGCCACUGGGGCCCGGCGGUGGCGCUGGCCGUGGUGGCCGUGUGCUCCGCCACCGCCAUGGCCGACGCCGCGCUCUGGUACUGGCCCCUGGACACGGCCGGGGGAAGCGUCAACUUCGUGAUGCUGCUCAACUGGACCGUCAUGAUCCUCUACAACUACUUCAGCGCCAUGUUUGUGGGCCCCGGGUACGUCCCGCUGGGGUGGACGCCGGAAAAAUCUCAGGAUUGCAUGUAUCUCCAAUACUGUAAAGUGUGUCAGUCUUACAAGGCACCUCGCUCACAUCACUGUCGGAAGUGUAACAGAUGUGUGAUGAAGAUGGAUCACCACUGUCCUUGGAUCAACAACUGUUGUGGAUACCAGAAUCAUGCAUCUUUCACUCUGUUUCUCCUCUUAGCUCCACUGGGAUGCAUUCAUGCUUCUUUCAUAUUUAUUAUGACAAUGUACACUCAGCUUUACAACAGAAUAUCUUUUGGGUGGAGUUCUGUGAAGAUUGACAUGAGUGCAGCCAAAAGAGACCCUCGUCCCAUUAUUCCCUUUGGACUGUCUGCAUUUGCUGCAUCUUUAUUUGCCUUAGGACUGGCAUUAGGAACAACUAUUGCUGUUGGUAUGCUGUUUAUUAUCCAGAUGAAAGUAAUUUUGACAAAUAAAACUUCAAUCGAAUCCUGGAUUGAAGAAAAGGCCAAAGACAGAAUCCAGUACUACCAAACGGGUGAGACCUUUAUCUUCCCCUAUGAUAUGGGAAGUAAAUGGAAGAACUUCAGGCAAGUGUUUACAUGGUCUGGGAUUCCUGAGGGAGAUGGCCUGGACUGGCCAGUUAGAGAUGGAUGUCACCAGUACAGUUUGACGAUAGAGCAACUGAAACAGAAAGCAGACAAGCGAGUAAGAAGUGUGCGGUAUCGAGCCAUAGAAGAUUACAGUGGUGUCUGCUGCCCUGUGACUAAAGGUGUUAAAACAUUCUUCACAACACCGUGCACUGAAGAACCUAGAAUUGCACUGAGUAAAGGGGAUCUGAUUUUAGCCACCAGAGGCUUAAAACACUGGAUGUAUGGUGAGAAGAUUCUCAUCUCAGCUGCUGAUGAAUUGGCAGAGACACUGCUGAAAUACUCAUACAAGUAAAAGCAGUUACUGCAUCUCAAGAAAGAGGAAGAUCAACUGUUGAGAGGAAAACAGAGACAAAUUACAGUAAUAGAAAAUGUGGAAUAAGAGAACGAGGCUGGUUCCCUAGGAAGUGUGUGGAAAAAUACCAGUAUGACUCUGAAACGGAUCAACCAGUGGAUGGAGAGAAGAAAAGCAAAUAGCCUUCUAAUUUUUUUAAAUAUUAAAUGGAAUUUUUACUUCAGACCACAAUCCUUUACUUGAAAUUUUCUGUAUAUUACUUUAGACUUAUGCAAUGAAUAUGUUAGGACGAGGUUUUCUUUUCCUCACUGCUGAAAGGGUUGUAUAUGCCUGUGCCAUGGUUUGCAUACUUUUUAAACAAUAAAUAAUUGAAGAAGCCAUUCAGUGGAUUGCCUUCAAGGUGCAUCUUUUUCAUCACAAGUCAGGAUUGUUUUUUUCUGUUAAAUUACAUUCUGAGCAUUAAGAUUUUAGGUUUUUUCCUCAGCCGCAUCUGAUUGUUAUGCGUGCUGCUUAUCUUUUGUAUUCCUCUGAAGCUGCCCCUGGGAAUAAACACCUGAUUCAAAUUCCAGAUAAAAUUCGUUACUUGUGACUUUUAAUUAUGUGAAUUGUCCACCUCAAAUAAAUGAUACAUUCAUAUUCA